AACUAUGUCCUGAUUUGCUUUUCAAAAGCAGUGUAAUGCAAUAAUAACUUUUGUGCACGUAUAUAUGAAGAUAUGAUGCAGACACCCCGCAAAUACUGUCCCACAGCUUUUACACAGCCACCUGUGCAAUGAGCUCCAGGCUCGAAGGGAGCUCCCUCUUUUAGCAAAGAGAUGAUCUGAAAUGACUGCAGAAUUCACCCAGAUAGCUAUGGCUCCAGUUGCACUGGCCAGGCGCAGGACAUUUUCUGUCCCCAGGCAGUCCCACACCCACACAGCUGCCCAAUUGUGGUGCUGUUUCCCACAGGAGGGACCCCAGUGUCCCGAGGCACCCCUGUGGCAGCCCCCUCGGCCCAGCUCGGUUCCUGUGGUUGUGCUUGUGACUUGGCGUGUGGCUGCUGGGGGACAGACCUCCUCAAUGUGUCCUGGUGGAUUCAAGUUGCUUCUCAACACGAGAUGUAUUAUUGCAAGCGGAGUCAGUGCUGUACCUGAGUAACUGCUGUAGGAGAAAACUGCUAUAGGUUAGAGUCAAACAUUUGCAAGUCGGCGAAGUCAGAACUGAAAAUUUGCAAAUUCCUUUCAGACCACUGGGGCGUAUAAUGAAAGGCCGUGUGCAGCUAGAGCUCACCAUAGACCUUCCUUGGCUUCACCAACCUCACAGGAUAGACACUGCGCACUCUCAGAGCACAUUUUCAGUAUUUUCUUUUUUCACUGAGUGCCCAGUCCCUGGUUUUCAUCAGUGUGUCACUGUACCCUGUCCAGACUCUGUGCCAGCCACAACUCCAUGAAGUCUUUUUCCUAGGUGUCUCUGCUCACCUACUCCAGAGGUUUUUUCCAUCUGGCUUAUCCCCACCUCUGGGCAGGAUGAUCCAAUCCCCACUUUAGUGGUGGCCAGCAGACGCAAGAAAGCAAAAAGAAACGAGAGGUAACGCAAAGCCAGUGACUCAGCAGGAAAGCUAGCUUUCUUCCAGCAACUUCCAAGCCCUUUGGCCAGGAGACCAGUCCUUCUCUUCCUGCAGUCUCCUGCCCACUCGUCGCACACUCCAGCUUCCGCAGAAAAACACCGUGCUGCUUCCUGCCAGUCCUGACUCAUUCCUGGGGGGACGUGGUAAAUGCUGGGCACCGGGGGAAAAACAUGACGCGGUUCGUGUGAGGAAAGGCCGCAGGAGAACAGCAUGAAUGAGAACAGACACACUGAAGCUGCACAGGUCUUCAGAAAGAUGGAAAAAAGAGGAAUUUUGUUGCACUGGGUCGCCCCUGCCAGGGAUUAUGGGCAAGCUUGGGGACAAGGUGGCACUCUCACAGUCCUCUGCCACCCAAGCAGACUGAGCAGGUCACUGUCCCCUGUAUGGGCAGCCCUGCGAGACAACAGGGCAAUUUAACCACAAUUUUCUGUCUAUUUUCUGUCAUCUGAGCCAUGAGGAUCACAGACCAAGGCUCCUCCAUGGGUCUGAAGAAGAGUGCACAGCUGCUCUGAGGUGUCUCUGGACCUGCCCCAGCAAGGGUGUUGUCACCGUGGCGCAUGUUUGGAAAUAGCUGGGAAAUAUUAGCAGCUUCUUAAGAAUUCCUCCCAGUCAAGACAGCUGCCAUGGCAAUUUAUUUUCAAAUUAUAAACAGGUCUGGAGGAGGCUGUAUAAUGAGGAGUUGGGGGAAACUUUUCUGACAGGCAGCGUGAGCAGCAUUGCUUGAUCAGGACAAGUUACACCCAUGUGAGUGCAGCUUGGGGAAGCAUUAAAAAGGUUUAACCUCAGUGAUUCCCUUGGUCUAGCUGCACUGAAGGACAUUCUCCUAUAGAAGACUCCUUAACUGUGUCUCAAUUUGCAAGACUAACAAUAGUAUAAAACAUUUUUCAUCUUCGUGUACAUUUGCAGGGAUGAAUCAAUCCCCACAAUACUAUCCUGGAUAGAUAGAAAUGUGCUUGCUGCUUUCCAGACACAUAGGAAGGGAACUGUCCCUUCCCACAGGCGUGCAUCCCCAUGCCAGCACUGGUGCCAAGGGGGCAGCUGAGUCUUGAACUCUUAGAAAGGAGCAGCUCACGGGAUGAAGGGAGAUUGCAAAAGUCACAGAGCAAACACCUCCAGUGCGUUAUGACACUACAGUCCCCAGGUCCCUGGCAAUGUCCUGGGGGAUAUGCCCAAUAUUAUGGUGGUUGGGGAAUAUCUGCAUGUUUCUGCCUGUGCUUGUAGCAGGAGCUGUGUUGAGACUGGCUCACAUAACAGCAGUGCUUGGUCUAACCAGAAACCCUGAUACAGUGGUGAACACAUUGCAAAUACGUGGGCAGGUUCCCACCAGCACACAGCCAACACAUGGAAGCACCUGGAGUUUAAUUGGGAUGGUUCUUUUCUCAGCCCCUGAUUUUCAGUCACCUGGUCUGCCCCUUCCUGGAGGACCUGGAGUGAGUUUUCGUCCAGGAAAAACAAAAACAAAAUCAAACAAAAACAAACAAACAAAACAAACAAACAAACAAAAACCAACCACAAAGCAAAACAAAACAAAGUACCCUGAGGGACUGUAAUGAACCAGCUAUAUUGAAAACAAGAAAGCACUUUUAUGUGUUAUAAUAUCAUUCACUACAAAUACCUAGUUCAGCUUCAAACUCUAAUCCCUACAUAAUGUUUGACCUGCAGAUUCAGUGUGACAAAUGUAAUAAUAGCUGGUGCUAUCCUCUGUGUAAAGAUGAUCUCUGGGGCUACCUGCUUGAAUGCACCAUAAAAUAUAGUUUCACAUAACAUAAAAGAGCUCUGCAGCAUGGCAGCUUCUUAAUAAACUGUUACUGCAUGAAAAUAUGAAUAAAUCAUAUCAGAGCAAAA